ACCAAUGAUGAGUACCAUGGGGUAUCUGAAACAGGAUUUUUGAUUAAACCCAUAUGCAAUUCUGAGGUCCAUUACAAAGAGACACGUAUUAUUCCUUUUUUGGGAAGUGAGCCUAUGGUACCUUUUCCUUGGACUUUGUGGUUCUUGGGGAUGGAUUGCAUUUUUGUUAUAAAAUCAGCCCAUGAAUUAAAAAUUUAUCAAUGAGUAAAACAUAAAGCAUAAGUCAUGUACUUAUUAUCAGUGACUGUAAUGAAACAUGGAUUAUUAUUAAAACUUAUCUGAGACUCCCAAUAAAUUAAUACCCAAGGCUUCUACCAUUCUGGUAAGGAGCAUAUGGUCAUUUGUAUGCAAGAGUCAGUUUUUGUUCUGUGUUGGUGGUGGGUUGCUGACUAUUUUAUGAAGAAAAUGAAGCAUCUUUAAUCAUAUAAAUAGUUGGUUAAAUAACCACUUAAUUGAGACCAAGCAGAGACCAAUGAUGAGUGUAUUAAUCUAUUUUUUAAUGGAUUUUUAUUAAACAAAUAAUAAAAGAAACACAGUCUAUUCUUCCUGAGGGCAAUAACUCUAGACAGAUGUAAAUAUUCUUCAGUGUUCUUGUCCAGUGCUGUGAGAUCACAGAUACUGAUGUCUUUUGUAUAUGAGAAGGAACUUGCAUUUUUAUGUCUCAGUUUAUAUUUUAGAGUCAGCAAACCAUGGACCAAUUAGGAACAAAUGUUAUGAUAUGAGAAUGCUGAUUCUUGUUUUUUUUUUUCAUGAUAGACAUUCUAAGAAAAACUCUAGGCUCUCUCAUUGUUUUUGGAAUACAUACAUGGUUCUUUCCAAGUAGUUUCUUAGAAAAAUGUUUUUAAAAAGAGGCUUUUAAAAAGAGCCUUUUAAAAUGUUUUUAAAAGAAGGCUUUAUUUUUCUCUAUAGAAUGAAAACCAUGUAGCUGGUCUUAUUAUUCUCUAAUCAUGAAGACCAUUAUUGUUAUUUGUGGACUAAGGAGCAGAAAGACUGAUAGUGGACAUAGGCCAGCUGAUUUAAUAAUUUAAGAAAGAACUGUUAUCCUGAGUAAGGAGCAUAGAGACAAAUAUAAAAUGAACGCACUCUACCUGAUUUAAUUAUAGUCUUCUGGUGAAGAUCUUGCUGUUAUCUCUGUGAAUCAGGAGAGAAGAGAUUGAUAAGGAAUAGACGAGAUUGGAUUUGGUCAUUUCCCCAAGGUGAAGAGCAUGGCGAUUUCUUCUGUGGUAAGGAGCAAUAAUGAAGACCAUGGUUGAUUUAAUCAGUCUCUGCUGAUGAAGAUCUUGGCUGUUACCUUUGUGUGUAAGGAAGCUAAAGACUUAAGUAAAUAACAGUCCAAAAACUUGUCAAUUAGGAAUGAAUGCGCAAUGAUUCAAUUAUUCUCCAGCGAGGAAGAUCAUGGUUGUUGUCUGUUUGAGUAAUGAGUGUAGAAACCUAUAAUGGAGGCGUGAUGGCUGAUGCAAUCAUUUUCCACUGAUGAAGGUUUUGAUGGCCACCUGUAAUGAACAGCCCCAUCUGAUUUAAUCACUGUGCAAUGACCGUGAACUGUACAGUUACCUCCGUGUGUCACAGGAAGACUCUUUUGACUUAAGCACCCUUCCAUGGUCAUGAGGUUUCUGGUUGCCUCUGUGUGUUAGAAGCUUGGAGACCAAUGCCUUCUGCUGUGAUCGCGUUCUCCACAGUUGCCUCUGGGUAGGAGCCUGGACACUAAUAGAAAAUGGAUGCACUUGAGCCGACCUAAGCAUUCAUGGUCAUGAGAUUUGUGGUUGCCACUGUUGGUUAGGAGCAUAGAGAUCAGUAAUGGACACACCUGGGCUGGCAGAACAUCUUGCCUUGAUCUGGAGCCCCAUGUCUGCCCCUCUGUAGAGGUGCACAUGGGCCAAUGAUGGAUGCAAUGAGCUGAUCAUUUUGCUGUGAUCAAGGCUAUGUUGCCUCUGUGUUAGGCCAAUGGUUGAUGUUCAUGGGUGAUUGAUCAUCCUGUAGCGACGGUGGUAUUGACUGUUCCCCAGAGGACAAGGAGUGUGUUCUUAUAAUGGACAUCAUGAUUGGGAUUGUCUUUAUUAAACUUUGUCAGGAGAGUAAAGAUCAAUGUGGCCACAUGUUGUGGCUCAUGCCUGUAAUCCCAACACUGUAAUCCCAGCACUGUAAUCCCAGCCUGUAAUCCCAGGCUGAGGUGGGCGGAUCACCUGAGGUUGGGAGUUCGAGACCAGCCUGACCAACAUGGAGAAACCCCGUCUCUACUAA
rnacentral:lncRNA from 1 species